rnacentral:rRNA from 1 species
UACGUAGGGGGCAAGCGUUGUCCGGAUUUAUUGGGCGUAAAGAGCGUGUAGGCGGCUUUACAGGUCCGUUGUGAAAACUCGAGGCUCAACCUCGAGACGCCGGUGGAAACCGUAAGGCUAGAGUCCGGAAGAGGAGAGUGGAAUUCCUGGUGUAGCGGUGAAAUGCGCAGAUAUCAGGAGGAACGCCGGUGGCGAAGGCGGGUCUCUGGGCAGUAACUGACGCUGAGGAGCGAAAGCGUGGGGAGCGAACAGG